GAAUUCGAUGCCAUUGCACCAUCGGGUUGAUUCCCGAUGGUACGUCUGGUUGAGGGUCAAUAUCUAUUAAAUUAAUAAAUAAUAUAUCAUUGAUAGUUUACAUUCAAAUAAUUAAUUUUUAUUUGUUUGAUUGAUAUAUUAUUUGUUGAAAUAAUUCAUCAGGUGAUUUAAAAUUUUAUAUGAAAAAUUUACUAUCCCCUGAUUAAGUAUUAUAUAAAUAAUAUGUAAGUUUUUACUUACAAUAUUUUACAUAUUGAAAUAAAAUAAUUAAUCUUUCGUAAUAUAUUAUAUAUUAUAUAUAUAUAUAUAUAAAAAAAAAAAUAUAAAUUAUUAUUUUUUUAUUUUUUUUUGCUUGCUUAAUGCGGUAAAUGAAUCAAUAAUGAAAUGAAAUAUGCAAUAUGUAAUAUUAUUUUUUGAUGCUUACUCAUCCGCGAUUACCCCCUAUAA
rnacentral:misc_RNA from 1 species